AAUUUGAUGAGGGGAUUAUUCUAUUAAAAAUAGAUUUGAGAUGACAGUUGUCCUUUAGGUUGCACCCAUGCUCAAGCGUAAAUGUAGUCUAUUUUUUCUUAUGUAUAACUAAAAAAGAAAAAAGAUGGAGAAAUAGGAGAAAAAGGAUUGAUUUACAAGCAAAACCUUCAAAUUGACACACUGCUUUGAGAAGAUUCACUUGCUCAUUGUUUUCACAAACUCUGUUUUUAUAAUUCCUAACAAUGGAAUAUGGACACUUUUGGGCCACUAGAGGAGCAACACCUCUUUUCAUUCGACCUGCCCAGAAAGUGACAAAUAUGCCCAGAUAAGGAACAUAUAUUCAUGCCAGUCUGCCUAAGGGCAGACAGAGCUCUCUAGUACGGUCUAAGUGGGCUAUCCUGGAGUAUCUCUUGCAGAAUAAAAACUUCUAUUGCUUUCAUUGUGUUUACUCCACAUUUGGACCUCUGUCAACGAAUAAGACUCCACUGGUAAAUCCUAGACAGAUCGAUUUGUUAGGGCAUAGAUUUAAAGGAAUUUGACUUGUUUGUACCAGGUGAAAAGAGUUGGAACUAAUAGAAUAAUCUAAGAUUCUAUUUCCUUCAUUGUGUUUACUCCACAUUGUGCACAAGUCGAUUGACUACCAACUGCAAAUCAUGAACAAAAAGAAUCAUGUUAAAAAAAUAAACAAAAAUAAU